rnacentral:rRNA from 1 species
UAGCCCUGAAAAUGGAUGGCGCUGAAGCGUCGUACCCACACCCGGCCGUCGGGUCGAGUUGCAAGUCCCGACGAGUAGGAGGGCGCGGCGGUGGCCGUGCAGCCUCGGGCGCGAGUCCGGGCGAAGCCGCCGCCGGUGCGGAUCUUGGUGGUAGUAGCAAAUAUUCAAACGAGAGCUUUGAAGACUGAAGUGGGGAAGGGUUCCAUGUCGACAGCAGUUGGACAUGGGUUAGUCGAUCCUAAGAGGAGGGAGAGGUCCCCCUGUAAGGCGCAGUCGUCUCGUUGCGACGGCGCCGUUCCUCGAAAGGGAGUCGGGUUAAGAUUCCCGAACCGGGAGGCGGAUAGGCCCUCGGGCCGUGAGCGGCGACGCAAGCGAACUCGGAGACGUCGGCGGGAGCUCCGGGAAGAGUUCUCUUUUCUUCUUAACGGGCUGUCCCCCUGGAAUCAGAUUGGCUGGAGAUAGGGUCUAACGCCCGGUAAAGCGCCACACUUGUUGUGGCGUCCGGUGCGCUCCCGACGGCCCUUGAAAAUCCGAGGGAGCGGUUGAUUUUCGCGCCCGGUCGUACCGAUAUCCGCAUCAGGUCUCCAAGGUGAACAGCCUCUAGUUGAUAGAACAAUGUAGGUAAGGGAAGUCGGCAAAACGGAUCCGU